UACGGAGGGUGCAAACGUUGCUCGGAAUCAUUGGGCGUAAAGCGCGCGUAGGCGGUGAUCUUUGUCAGAGGUGAAAGCCUGGGGCUCAACUCCAGAAUUGCCUUUGAAACGGGAUUGCUUGAGUCCGAGAGAGGAUGGCGGAAUUCCUAGUGUAGAGGUGAAAUUCGUAGAUAUUAGGAAGAACACCGGUGGCGAAGGCGGCCAUCUGGCUCGGUACUGACGCUCAGGCGCGAAAGCGUGGGGAGCAAACAGG
rnacentral:rRNA from 1 species